CCUACGGGAGGCAGCAGUGGGGAAUAUUGGGCAAUGGAGGAAACUCUGACCCAGCGACGCCGCGUGCGGGAUGAAGGCCUUCGGGUUGUAAACCGCUUUCAGUAGGGAAGAAGCGAAAGUGACGGUACCUACAAAAGAAGCACCGGCUAACUAUGUGCCAGCAGCCGCGGUAAUACAUAGGGUGCAAGCGUUGUCCGGAAUUAUUGGGCGUAAAGAGCUCGUAGGUCGUUUGUUACGUCGGAUGUGAAAACCUGAGGCUCAACCUCAGGCCUGCAUUCGAUACGGGCAAACUAGAGUUUGGUAGGGGAGACUGGAAUUCCUGGUGUAGCGGUGGAAUGCGCAGAUAUCAGGAGGAACACCAAUGGCGAAGGCAGGUCUCUGGGCCAAUACUGACACUGAGGAGCGAAAGUCUGGGGAGCGAACAGGAUUAGAUACCCUGGUAGUCCAGACCGUAAACGGUGGGCACUAGUUGUGGGAACCUUCCACGGUUUCUGCGACGCAGCUAACGCAUUAAGUGCCCCGCCUGGGGAGUACGAUCGCAAGNUUAAAACUCAAAGGAAUUGACGG
rnacentral:rRNA from 1 species